rnacentral:rRNA from 1 species
GACGAACGCUGGCGGCGUGCUUAACACAUGCAAGUCGAACGAAGUGGCGAACGGGUGAGUAACGCGUAAUCAACCUGCCCUUCAGAGGGGGAUAACAGUUGGAACCGACUGCUAAUACCGCAUACUGAUGGAGGGGAUUGCGUGUGAUUAGCUCGGGGGAGGGGUAACGGCCCACCAAGGCGAUGAUCAGUAGCCGGGCUUGGAGGAUGAACGGCCAAAUUGGGACUGAGACACGGGCCAGAAUCCUACGGGAGGCAGGAGGGGGGAAACUUCCGAAAUGGAGGAAAGUCUGACGGAGCAACGCCGCGUGAGUGAUGAAGGCCUUCGGGUUGGAAAGCUCUGUUAAGCGGGACGCGGUACCGGAAUAGAAAGCCACGGCUAACUACGUGCCAGCAGCCGCGGUAAUUC